CUGUUAUUGGAAUUUGAUAGUUGUGCGAUGGGGUUCAUACCUUAACUGCCAAAACGGGACCCCUUUUGGGGUAUAAAUCUUGUAAAAGGAUUAUAUUCCGUACUAAGGAUAUUUGAUAAUAUCCGGAAUGUCUAGAGACUACACGGCAAGCCAAUUGGUGGUAUGAAUGGAUAGUCCCUAGUUUUUUUUACCAUCUAGGUAUCCCAUACAAAAUGGUAA
rnacentral:autocatalytically_spliced_intron from 2 species